rnacentral:rRNA from 1 species
GUAUCAUGGCUCAGGAUGAACGCUAGCGACAGGCUUAACACAUGCAAGUCGAGGGGCAUCUAUGAGGUAGCAAUAACCUUGAUGGCGACCGGCGCGACGGGUGAGUAACGCGUAUGCAACCUGCCUGAUACCGGGGUAUAGCCCAUGGAAACGUGGAUUAACCACCCCAUAGUACUUUUAUCCUGCAUGGGAUGUGAGUUAAAUGUUUAAGGUAUCGGAUGGGCAUGCGUCCUAUUAGG